AACUUCGGUGAAACCGGGAGCUAAUACCGGGAUAACAUAUUGAACCCGCAUGGUUCAAUAGUGAAAGGCGGCUUUGCUGUCACUUAUAGAUGAAUCCGCGCCGUAUUAGCUAGUUGGUAAGGUAACGGCUUACCAAGGCAACGAUACGUAGCCGACCUGAGAGGGUGAUCGGCCACACUGGAACUGAGACACGGUCCAGACUCCUACGGGAGGCAGCAGUAGGGAAUCUUCCGCAAUGGGCGAAAGCCUGACGGAGCAACGCCGCGUGAGUGAUGAAGGUCUUCGGAUCGUAAAACUCUGUUAUCAGGGAAGAACAAAUGUGUAAGUAACUGUGCACAUCUUGACGGUACCUGAUCAGAAAGCCACGGCUAACUACGUGCCAGCAGCCGCGGUAAUACGUAGGUGGCAAGCGUUAUCCGGAAUUAUUGGGCGUAAAUGCUGCGCGUAGGCGGUUUUUUAAGUCUGAUGUGAAAGUCCCACGGCUCAACCGUGGAGGGUCAUUGGAAACUGGAAAACUUGAGUGCAGAAGAGGAAAGUGGAAUUCCAUGUGUAGCGGUGAAAUUGCGCAGAGAUAUGGAGGAACACCAGUGGCGAAGGCGACUUUCUGGUCUGUAACUGACGCUGCAUGUGCGAAAGUCGUGGGGAUCAAACAGGCAUUAGCAUACCCUGGUAGUUCCACGCCGUAAACGCAUGUAGUGUCUAAGUGUUUAGUGGGGUUUCCGUCCCCUUAGUUGUCUGUCAGUACUCACGUCAUUAAGUCACUCGUCUCUGGCUGUAU
rnacentral:rRNA from 1 species